rnacentral:rRNA from 1 species
UACCAGCCCCCUGAGUGGUAAGGACGAUUAUUUGGCUUAAAGCGUCCGUAGCCGGCUUAGUGAGUCUCUUGUUAAAUCCAAUGAUUCAAUCAUUGAACUGCAAGAGAUACUACUAUGCUAGAGGACGGGAGAGGUCGACGGUAGUCCAAGGGUAGGGGUGAAAUCCUAUAAUCCUUGGAGGACCACCAGUGGCGAAGGCGGUCGACUAGAACGUGCCUGACGGUGAGGGACGAAAGCUGGGGGAGCGAACCGGAUUAGAUACCCGGGUAGUCCCAGCUGUAAACGAUGCGGGCUAGGUGUAGGGGCAGCUACGAGCUGCUCCUGUGCCGCAGAGAAAUUGUUAAGCCCGCCGCCUGGGGAGUACGAUCGCAAGAUUGAAACUUAAAGGAAUUGGCGGGGAGCACCACAAGGGGUGAAGGCUGCGGUUU